AUCCAACACCGUGUGCCAGAACCAGGUUGGGAAAAGGCAAAAGUUCCUCACACUCUACUAUCGUGACGUGGCACACAGUCCCCAAGCCUGAUGAGGUUCAUUACAGGUCUCUUUUAGGGUCUAUUCUGACUGGAGGUUUGUUAUUCCUGAACGUCAUGUUUGGUCUGGAUUCAGACUGCCGUCAACUCAGUUCUCUGUUUCCAACCAAAGCUUGUAAACAAAACCAUGUGACUAAAGAUCUCUUCACUCAUUGGACAGGAACUACGGAGGCGGGGCAAAGCAACUAGAGGCAGAAAUUAGGGAAGUUCUACGCUUUGCAAUCCUUGUUGGGAUAGUCCACCAAUUCUGAACGUCUGUAUCAACAUCAGGUUCAACACUUUUUACUGUUUGGUACGGUGGAGACAUGCUGCAGGACGGUUCUGAGGAGCCGACGGCUAAGAAGGUGACGACCAUCUACGGUGGCUGUUUUGGUCCAGUCGUUCCACUCCGAGCAUGGAGUCUAUUCAGACGGAGGAAUCUCAGAACGAACAACUGGAAACACACCGAGAACAUCGGGAAAGAUGGGAUUCUUUUGGUCGUUCUCCACCCCAGUGAUGCUUGGUGGCAGUCCAGCCUCCAACCACCAUCAGCGUCUCUGGAGUUCAUUCAUCUGACGUGUUCAUUCCAACGUGCUCAUUCUGGACUUCAUUUAUUCCUGUUUUUCUGUAACAAAACUAAAUCUUUAAUCUGAAAAAGAAAUCUGAAAAUAAGUAUAGAUUCCCAUAUUUUCCUACAGAUGUCUUUUCUCUGCUUUUUAUGCCAUAAAAACUUAUUUUGGGGGGAAUCGUUUUUAGGUUCAGCUAAGAAUGAUGAGUAUUUAAUAAAAAAAUAACAAUGACAACUUUGACUAGAUAAACGUGUUUUAUGAGAUUUAGUUGUACAUUUUCACGUCUGCUUUUCUCAGCACACACCACAGUCAGCUCAGCUAUUCUA